rnacentral:rRNA from 1 species
UACGGGGGGGGCAAGCGUUGUUCGGAAUUACUGGGCGUAAAGGGCUCGUAGGUGGCCAACUAAGUCGGACGUGAAAUCCCUCGGCUUAACCGGGGAACUGCGUCCGAUACUGGUUGGCUUGAGUUUGGGAGAGGGAUGCGGAAUUCCAGGUGUAGCGGUGAAAUGCGUAGAUAUCGGAAGGAACACCAGUGGCGAAAGCGGCUUCCUGGUCCAGCACCGACGUUCAGGCACGAAAGCGUGGGGAGCAAACAGG